rnacentral:rRNA from 1 species
UACGAAGGGUGCAAGCGUUAAUCGGAAUUACUGGGCGUAAAGGGUGCGUAGGCGGUUGUUUAAGUCUGUCGUGAAAUCCCCGGGCUCAACCUGGGAAUGGCGAUGGAUACUGGACAGCUAGAGUGUGUCAGAGGAUGGUGGAAUUCCCGGUGUAGCGGUGAAAUGCGUAGAGAUCGGGAGGAACAUCAGUGGCAAAGGCGGCCAUCUGGGACAACCCUGACGCUGAAGCACGAAGCGUGGGGAGCAAACAGG